rnacentral:lncRNA from 1 species
CUAUUUCAAGGAUUUGUCCUUAUCCCACAUCUAAUGGACACACCUAUGACGAGAAGUAAGGAUUUGUCCUUGUCCCACAUCUAAUGGACACACCUAUGACGAGAAGGAGGUGUAUUUUGGUUUGUUGUACAUGCUUAUAAAAAUAACUUACAUAUGCUCUUUUCUUUUCCAUGUUAACCCUAUCCUCAGAUACACUUGAGUUGAAUAUAGUUUUGACAUCAUCUUAAUAUGACAUAAUAUGGUACAUGUACUUUGCUUCGGAACUGCGAAACUUUAUAUCUGUAAUUAUUUUACCAUAGCAUUAGUACAUGUACUUUGCUUUGUAAAGUGUGAAACGUUAUAUCUGUAAUUAUUUUUACAGAGUAAUAAGAAGUCAGACCAGUAGUAAUACCAGGACAUUUAUGGAUGACGAUUAAGUUUAAUAGUCAGUCCAAGGUCAAAUAAUGGUUAAUAGUGUUAUUUGAUAGAAUUAAAUUGUUUUUCUGUACACAGG